UCGGAGCUUGACUUCGGUCAAGUGACGGCGUGCCUUUUGCAUAAUGAGCCUACGAGUUACUCCUCUCUGGCAAGGUUAACCCCGUUUCGGGGGAAGCCGUAGCGAAAGCAAGUCUGAAUAGGGCGAACAGUCAGAGGGGGUAGACGCGAAACUUUAGUGAUCUACCCAUGACCAGGAUGAAGUGUCAGUAACAUGACAUGGAGGUCCGAACCAGUUGACGUUGAAAAGUCUUUGGAUGAGUUGUGGGUAGGGGUGAAAGGCCAAUCAAACUCGGCAAUAGCUGGUUCUCCGCGAAAGCUAUUUAGGUAGCGCGUCUGGUCUCACCUUCGGGGGUAGAGCACUGGAUGGGGAAGGGGGGCGCGAGCCUUACCGACUCUAACCAAACUCCGAAUACCGAAGAGUGCAAUCCAGGCAGACAGACGGCGGGUGCUAAGGUCCGUCGUCAAAAGGGAAACAGCCCUGACCGCCAGCUAAGGUCCCUAAGUUAUCACUAAGUGGGAAACGAUGUGGGAGUGCUUAGACAACCAGGAGGUUGGCUUAGAAGCAGCCACCCUUUAAAGAAAGCGUAAUAGCUC
rnacentral:rRNA from 16 species